rnacentral:rRNA from 1 species
UACGUAGGGGGCAAGCGUUGUCCGGAAUCAUUGGGCGUAAAGCGCGUGUAGGCGGCCAGAAAAGUCCGCUGUGAAAACUCGAGGCUCAACUUCGAGCUGUCGGUGGAAACUUUCUGGCUAGAGUCCGGAAGAGGAGAAUGGAAUUCCUGGUGUAGCGGUGAAAUGCGCAGAUAUCAGGAGGAACACCGAUGGCGAAGGCAGGUCUCUGGGCCACUACUGACGCUGAGAAGCGAAAGCGUGGGGAGCGAACAGG